UGGGGAAUAUUGGACAAUGGGGGGAACCCUGAUCCAGCCAUGCCGCGUGUGUGAAGAAGGCCUUAUGGUUGUAAAGCACUUUAAGCGAGGAGGAGGGUACUGGUAUUAAUACUACCAGGUACUGGACGUUACUCGCAGAAUAAGCACCGGCUAACUCUGUGCCAGCAGCCGCGGUAAUACAGAGGGUGCGAGCGUUAAUCGGAUUUACUGGGCGUAAAGCGUGCGUAGGCGGCUAAUUGAGUCGGCUGUGAAAUCCCCGAGCUUAACUUGGGAAUUGCAUUCGAUACUGGUUAGCUAGAGUGUGGGAGAGGAUGGUAGAAGUCCAGGUGUAGCGGUGAGAUGCGUAGAGAUCUGGAGGAAUACCGAUGGCGAAGGCAGCCAUCUGGCCUAACACUGACGCUGAGGUACGAAAGCAUGGGGAGCAAACAGG
rnacentral:rRNA from 1 species